UCUUGAAGCACGGACCAAGGAGUCUAACAUGUGCGCGAGUCAUUGGGACCGUACGAAACCUAAAGGCGUAAUGAAAGUGAAGGCCUGCGCGCGCUUCGGCGGCGCGCAGGCGGAGGGGGGAUGUCGGCCGUCCACAGCGACGCGCGCGACCGCACCCCCGGGGCGUCUCGUUGUCAUCGCGACACAGAAGGCGCACCCAGAGCGUACACGUUGGGACCCGAAAGAUGGUGAACUAUGCCUGGCCAGGUCGAAGUCCUGGCGCUCGGAGGCGAAAGGGUAGUAGAAAUGCCACCCGUCUACCAGUCUCAUCUGGUAAAGCGAAUGAUUAGAGGCCUUGGGGCCGAAACGACCUCAACCUAUUCUCAAACUUUAAAUGGGUGAGAUGAUCAUCUUGCUUGAAGCAUGAAGUCGAUCUUCCGUACUCUGUACGGAAAGCAAAGGAUGAACGAGUGCCAAGUGGGCCAAUUUUGGUAAGCAGAACUGGUGCUGUGGGAUGAACCAAACGUCGAGUUAAGSSSCCMAAAUCGAUGCUCAUGGGAUACCAUGAAAGGCGUUGGUUGCUUAAGACGAUGUUGAUGCGCGUCUUUAGCAAAAUCCAAUGAUUUUCCGACCGCAUCGGGCGAAAGGGAAUCCGGUUCCUAUUCCGGAACCCGGCCGCGGAACCGACCAUGCGGGCCAACCUGCAGCAAUGCAGGACUCGUCGGGGUAACCCAAAAGGACCCGGAGACGCCGUCGGACGAUCGAGGCAGAGUUAUCUGUUCUGUAUGAGCGUUCGAGUUCCCUGGAAUCGCCUAGCGCGGAGAUAGGGUUUGGAACGCGAAGAGCACCGCACUUGCGGCGGUGUCUCGAUCCGUCCCUCGGACCUUGAAAAUCCGGGAGAGGGCCACGUGGAGGAGUCGCGCCGGUUCGUACCCAUAUCCGCAG
rnacentral:rRNA from 1 species